AGAGUUUGAUCCUGGCUCAGAACGAACGCUGGCGGCAUGCCUAACACAUGCAAGUCGAACGCUAUUUAUAGAGUGGCGCACGGGUGAGUAACGCGUGGGAACCUGCCUUUUUCUGCGGGAUAACGGUUGGAAACGGCCGCUAAUACCGCAUACGCCCUACGGGGGAAAGGUCCGCCGGAAAAAGAGGGGCCCGCGUCUGAUUAGCUAGUUGGUAGGGUAAAGGCCUACCAAGCCGACGAUCAGUAGCUGGUCUGAGAGGACGAUCAGCCACACUGGAACUGAGACACGGUCCAGACUCCUACGGGAGGCAGCAGUGGGGAAUUUUGGACAAUGGGGGCAACCCUGAUCCAGCCAUUCCGCGUGAGUGAAGAAGGCCUUCGGGUUGUAAAGCUCUUUCGCAAGAGAAGAAAUCUUACUAUCGAAUAAAUAGUAAGGAUGACGGUAUCUUGACAAGAAGCACCGGCUAACUACGUGCCAGCAGCCGCGGUAAUACGUAGGGUGCGAGCGUUAAUCGGAAUUACUGGGCGUAAAGCGUGCGCAGGCGGUUUUAUAAGUCGGAUGUGAAAUCCCCGAGCUCAACUUGGGGACUGCGUUUGAAACUGUAAGACUAGAGUGUGUCAGAGGGGGGUAGAAUUCCACGUGUAGCAGUGAAAUGCGUAGAUAUGUGGAGGAAUACCAAUGGCGAAGGCAGCCCCCUGGGAUAACACUGACGCUCAUGCACGAAAGCGUGGGGAGCAAACAGGAUUAGAUACCUGGUAGUCCACGCCCUAAACGAUGUCUACUAGUUGUUGGUGGAGUAAAAUCCAUGAGUAACGCAGCUAACGCGUGAAGUAGACCGCCUGGGGAGUACGGUCGCAAGAUUAAAACUCAAAGGAAUUGACGGGGGCCCGCACAAGCGGUGGAUUAUGUGGAUUAAUUCGAUGCAACGCGAAAAACCUUACCUGGCCUUGACAUGUACCGAAUUUAGCAGAGAUGCUUUAGUGCUCGUAAGAGAACGGUAACACAGGUGCUGCAUGGCUGUCGUCAGCUCGUGUCGUGAGAUGUUGGGUUAAGUCCCGCAACGAGCGCAACCCUUGCCAUUAAUUGCCAUCAUUUAGUUGGGCACUUUAAUGGGACUGCCGGUGACAAACCGGAGGAAGGUGGGGAUGACGUCAAGUCCUCAUGGCCCUUAUGGCCAGGGCUUCACACGUAAUACAAUGGACGAUACAGAGGGACGCCAACCCGCGAGGGGGAGCCAAUCCCAGAAAGCCGUUCGUAGUCCGGAUUGUUGUCUGCAACUCGACAACAUGAAGUCGGAAUCGCUAGUAAUCGCGGAUCAGAAUGUCGCGGUGAAUACGUUCCCGGGCCUUGUACACACCGCCCGUCACACCAUGGGAGUGGGUCUUACCAGAAGUAGUUAGUCUGACCGCAAGGGGGACGAUUACCACGGUAGGAUUCAUGACUGGGGUGAAGUCGUAACAAGGUAA
rnacentral:rRNA from 1 species